rnacentral:rRNA from 1 species
GUCUACGGCCAUGCCACCCUGAACAAGCCUGAUUCCGUCUGAUUGCGGAAGCUAAGCAGGGUUGGGCCUGGUUAGUACUUGGAUGGUAGACCAGCUAGGAAGACCAGGUGUUGUAGGCG